rnacentral:sRNA from 1 species
AUUACAGUGAGACUGUGGGAAUAGUAGUAGCUGCGGCUGUGGAUGCACAGCUUGGGAGAAAAGCAGUACAGGUCAUGUGGGCUUAUCAAAGGGGCGCUUACUGAGAGUUCUUUGGCAUUCUGUCCACCUCCUUGUCGAAUCCUCAGAGACAGAAAUCUCAUAUCUGUUGAUCUUGGAGGUGGGCAUACUGCCAAUGGAGCUGUGUAGGCCUCCCUUUGUAAAACCCAUAUGACUCAAAAUCAAGAGAGAGAGGGUCUUGUUAAUUAGAUCUGAUUAGUUCUUUGGAAACCCUAACCAAGCCUGUACAUACUCUCGCUGAACUUGUGAGUGGUACUCGACUCGAUCCUAACAUGCAUGCUUCACUUCGAUCGGUUCUCUCUGUGACCUUUCUUGGUUAGGGUUUGGGUUUUGUGCCUGUGACUGGUGAUGGUAAUGAUGAGAUGCGGCAUUCUUUUUCUUUGCCUUAUCAUUUCCUCCCUCUGUACAUGCAUCGAUCUGCUCCGCCUUUUCUUCUCUCCUGUUCCAAUAUAUAUUUUGCUGUAAAUAUAUGAGCGCAAGUUGCGGGCAGAAAUUUCAUGCGCUUCAUGAUUUCGGUGGCAGAACUCAGCGUGCACCAGUCACCAGUGCACAGUACAGCUGUCUGUGCGUCAAAUUUUGUUUAGAUCGGUCUUUUCAUAUUUCAAAUGCGAAUGCUCCCGGUCUUGGGGGUAUAUAGGAGUAGAUGAUAGUCCAUGGCCUGUGUCCUCUAGAUCUCCAAGUAGCUUUGCCCAAUACAGGUUAAUCAUUACCUGCUUGGA